AUUGAACGCUGGCGGCAUGCCUUACACAUGCAAGUCGAGCGGUUGAAGGCAGCUUGCUCCUGGCUUCAGCGGCGGACGGGUGUGUUAUGCCUAAGAAUCUGCCUGGUAGUGGGGGAUCACGUCCGGAAACGGGCGCUAAUACCGCAUACUUCCUGAGGGAGAAAGUGGGGGAUCUUCGGACCUCACGCUCUCAGAUGUUCCGAGGUCGGAUUAGCUAGUUGGUGGGGUAAAGGCCUACCAAGGCGACGAUCCGUAACUGGUCUGAGAGGAUGAUCAGUCACACUGGAACUGAGACACGGCCCAGACUCCUACGGGAGGCAGCAGUGGGGAAUAUUGGACAAUGGGCGAAAGCCUGAUCCAGCAAUGCCGCGUGUGUGAAGAAGGUCUUCGGAUUGUAAAGCACUUUAAGUUGGGAGGAAGAGGCGUAAGUUAAUACCUGGCUGUUUUGACGGUACCAAAAGAAUAAGCACCGGCUAACUUCGUG
rnacentral:rRNA from 1 species